GGGCCUUUAGCUCAGUUGGUUAGAGCGCACCCCUGAUAAGGGUGAGGUGUCUGGUUCGACUCCAGAAAGGCCCACCA
rnacentral:tRNA from 1 species